AACGAACGCUGGCGGCAGGCCUAACACAUGCAAGUCGAACGCCCCGCAAGGGGAGUGGCAGACGGGUGAGUAACGCGUGGGAACCUACCUUGUGGUACGGAACAACCAAGGGAAACUUUGGCUAAUACCGUAUGAGCCCGAGAGGGGAAAGAUUUAUCGCCAUGAGAUGGGCCCGCGUAGGAUUAGCUAGUUGGUGAGGUAAUGGCUCACCAAGGCGACGAUCCUUAGCUGGUCUGAGAGGAUGACCAGCCACACUGGGACUGAGACACGGCCCAGACUCCUACGGGAGGCAGCAGUGGGGAAUAUUGGACAAUGGGCGCAAGCCUGAUCCAGCCAUGUCGCGUGUGUGAUGAAGGCCUUAGGGUUGUAAAGCACUUUCGCCGAUGAAGAUAAUGACGGUAGUCGGAGAAGAAGCCCCGGCUAACUUCGUGCCAGCAGCCGCAGUAACAC
rnacentral:rRNA from 1 species